UAUAUUGAAUAAAAAGCCUUUAUUACCAAUUUUUUCAUAAUUUUAUCAUUUAAUACCAAUAAAUGAUCAUUUUAAAUCAGCCACAUUUGCCUUUUAUAACCAUAACUGUGUUUUGUCCCCCUAAAAAAACUUAUUUGCAACUUAUACGUAAAAACUACAAAGCCCACAUGAUAUGCUGACGUCAUCAUUGCUCGACAUCGUCGGUGACGGCAGCAGAAUGCGACAGCUUGGUCAAGAUUUACAAACAUUUUAAGGGGGUCUGUGUUUUCAACACAGCAAACAGACAGUGUAACGAAGUGCUGAUAAUGGAUGUGAGGAUGUUAACUAUUCAGCUCUAGUCAGCCAAGACAGAAACCAAACGCGCCUUCAGAGCUCUGCAAUCCCGUAUGUAACGUUACAUCGCUCAGUGUGUAGGAGCGUGCCGUGGAUCGUAGCCAUGACUUUGAGCAUGGACAUCAGCGUUUCCUUUCUCAAGUGCGAACUCGCCUCUACUAUUGAUCAAGCCGUAAGAUGCGCCGUUGAAACUGUUUUAAGAGAAACGGCGCGUGUUGUCGGAGUAAAGCUGGCCGCGGCUCGUAAUGCAGCCGCAGAGUCGCACCGGGAGAACCAGAGCCUGCGGGAGAGGCUGGAGAUCUCCGAGAGCGAGCUCAAAGCGGUCCGCUACUACAUGACCGCGGCCGAGAAGAACAUCAAACAGUGUUUACUCCUCAACAGAAACCAGCCCGGGGCAAACAGCGCGCGGUCGAGCGCAGAGGACGCAGUGUUCGUGUUUCCCUCACGCCUCGCGGACGAAAGCCCCACAGCACCCGCACAGAGCAGAGAUUCUUCCCGCAAGACUUUUCGCAGCUCACCGGGAAGAAUCCACAAUCUCAAAAAUGUUCCCAGUGUGGGCCUGUGUCUGCCCACGGUGCAGUCAGUCUGGCCUCGUGAUUGUGUGAACCGCAGGAAAGCACGAGGCUCUUCAGUAGGGAACAGUUCAGCCCUCUCGAGUGACUCUACCAGCACACAAGUUCUGCUGGACAACACUGCUGCCCUCUUCAAACCGCAAGAGGACACAGAGGGCCCGUUUUACAUCACCAACGAGGGCGGAAAAGACCACAGUUCUGCAGUACCAGACACAGAGAGAGCACAUGAAGAUCCAGAAUCUCCAGGCCCCUCCACAAACCCAGCAGAGGACCCGUCGGACAUGUCAAAGUUUGAGUUUGAAAUGAGCACGCCAGCUGGCAAUGUAAAUGAGCUGGAGCUCAUACAGGUGAUGGAAGACGCUGAUGUAAAACAAGGCACCAUUAAAAUCGAAGACGAUCCUGAUUCACUUACAUUAGAGCCUCCUUCAUCCAAUCUAGCUUUAGCAUCUUCAGCCAACUCCAUUCAAGAGAUACCGCAGAUCUCCUCUCCUCCAGUGCCUGAGAGUGAUGGAGAUGCUUUGCUGGCCUUGGCUCCAACUGCGGGCAGUGACUCUGGUUUCAGCAGAACUGUCGAGAGCCCUGAUAAAGUGCAUCGCUGCAACAUUUGUGGGAGAGGGUUCAGACGUUUCUACUGCCUGAAAACACACCAGCGCAUACACACAGGGGAGCGUCCAUACCCGUGCAGAUACUGUGAGAAGCGUUUCCGCCAUCUGGACAGCUUACACAAGCACCAGCGCAUUCACACGGGAGAGAGACCGUACCGCUGCGCUGAGUGUGGAUGCUGCUUCAGAGAACUCGGACAACUCAAAAAACACAGACUCAAACACUCGCCCACAUUCGUUCCUGUGGCCAAUCCCACCUUCCCGCUCCUCCCAGCCGGGCCCUCCUAUGUGUGGCCACAUCUCAACACACAGUCUUUGGAUUCAGUCUAGGCUUUACAUGUUUAAAACAGUAAUUCUGGACACUUUGUGUAUGAUGUUAUGACAGCAUUGAAUUACUUUAUUAAUUUACUGUUUUAAAAGAAAAGCAGACACAUUCAGUUGGAUAAUUCACCCUAAAAUGAAAAUUGUCAUCAUGUACUCACUUUCCAUAUAUUCAAUGCUUUUCGAGUUUUUUUUUUUUUUUUUUUUUUGCUGUGGGUGUCAAUGGCUGCCAUUUUCCAACAUUCUUCAAAAUAUCUUCUUUUUUUGUCCAGUAGGAAAACGAAACUUAAGAUUUAGAACCACCUGAGGGUGAGUACAUUUGUAUUUUUGGGUGUCAGCUGUCACUAAUGGCAAGUUUAAUCUCUUUUCAAAUAACAAAUAGAACCUUAAAUGUGUAAGUACAAUAAAAGUGUGUCAAGUAAACA
ensembl:processed_transcript